GAAAAUGAUGGCCAGGCAGUUGGAAGGAUCCAAAAGGAUAAAAGGCCAGGACAGAAUUCCUUACACAACGAAAAACACACAUGAGUCCAUCUUUAAAUCACUGAGAUGUAAAUUGUGGAACACAUGCUUUGUAGUAACUAUGGAUAGGGAUCUGUAAACCACCCUCUUUCAGUGGUGUGUGUCCAAGUCUUCUGCGGUUGUUAUUCUUUAAAAAGAAAAACGUCUGUGAGGAUGACCUGGUGCCCAUAUUGACAGGAAUGAUGGGGCUGUGCUAAAUAUGCAAGCUCUGCUGAAAGACCAUCAGGCGCCUCCUUUCCCUGGACUGUGUCUAUUUCAGCUGAUCAUUCCGAGAACUACAAUUUAACUUCAAGAACUGGUGCCUGAGUUUGCUUUUCCCUGCCUUUUCCUCUUUCUUUUGCAUUUUGCCUUUUUGAUCCUGCAGGCAGGUACUGUCUUGUUUUAAGUGACUGUACGUAAGCCACUUUAACAGCUGGUAUAGCACAGUGGGGAGGAGAGCCUGGCUGGGAGUCCAGAGUCUGUGAGUCCAAAUCCCCGCUCGUGUCUCCUGGGUGUCAAGGGCCAGCUAAAGAUCACCCCCACAGUGAGUGGCUCAGGGAUUAUGUGCCCUGCCACCUGUGCAGCUGUGAGCAAGCUGCAUGGUCCCAAGGAGCCCAGUUGCCCCCCAGCUGGCAGUUGCGGACAAGGAAGGGGCUGGCUUGUGCAGCUGUGGCAAGCUGAGCAGGCCCUAGCCAGCUGGGGAGGACUAGCCUCAGAGGGAGGCAAUGGUAACCCCCCCUCUGAAUACUGCUUACCAUGAAAACCCUAUUCAUAGGGUCGCCAUAAGUCGGGAUCGACUUGAAGGCAGACCGUCUCCUCCUCUCUCACUUAAGCCACUUUAGGAGCCUUUUUGGCUAAAGAGUGGAGUACAAGUACAAGUGCUCUAAAUACAUAAAUAAUAUAUAAGCUUGUUUGGCAGAAAGUCCCAUUGUGUUCAAUAGGUCUUACUCCCAAGUAAGUGUCACAGGAUUACAGUCUUACCUAAACUGUAUUCCAGUCCAAUGAUAUGAGACACUAUGUCAGAAAAUGGGUGUUUAUGAUGGGAUGCAAGCCGCCAACAGGAUGCACUAGGAUACAGGUGUGCCAAGGCAGGUUAGAGGUAGGUCUAUGAGCUUUAUCCAGUUCAAUAGGUGGAUUAAUCAACUCAAGCUUGAAUUGAUUGAUUGAUAUGAACCAGUUUUAACUACUGGCACUAAAAGCGAAAGGCAUACAUAUAGAUGUUUCAAGAUUAUUUUGUUUCUUGUGUGA